rnacentral:rRNA from 1 species
UACGGAGGGUGCAAGCGUUGUUCGGAAUUAUUGGGCGUAAAGCGCGUGUAGGCGGUCUUUUAAGUCUGAUGUGAAAGCCCCGGGCUCAACCUGGGAAGUGCAUUGGAAACUGGGAGGCUUGAGUACGGGAGAGGAGAGUGGAAUUCCUAGUGUAGGAGUGAAAUCCGUAGAUAUUAGGAGGAACACCGGUGGCGAAGGCGGCUCUCUGGACCGAUACUGACGCUGAGACGCGAAAGCGUGGGUAGCAAAC